UGGGGAAUUUUGGACAAUGGGCGAAAGCCUGAUCCAGCAAUGCCGCGUGUGUGAAGAAGGCCUUCGGGUUGUAAAGCACUUUUGUCCGGGAAAGAAAUCCUUGGCUCUAAUACAGUCGGGGGAUGACGGUACCGGAAGAAUAAGCACCGGCUAACUACGUGCCAGCAGCCGCGGUAAUACGUAGGGUGCAAGCGUUAAUCGGAAUUACUGGGCGUAAAGCGUGCGCAGGCGGUUUGCUAAGACCGAUGUGAAAUCCCCGGGCUCAACCUGGGAACUGCAUUGGUGACUGGCAGGCUAGAGUAUGGCAGAGGGGGGUUAGAAUUCCACGUGUAGCAGUGAAAUGCGUAGAGAUGUGGAGGAAUACCGAUGGCGAAGGCAGCCCCU
rnacentral:rRNA from 1 species